rnacentral:rRNA from 1 species
AUUGAACGCUGGCGGCAUGCCUUACACAUGCAAGUCGAACGGUAACGGGCCUUCGGGUGCCGACGAGUGGCGAACGGGUGCGUAAUACAUCGGAACGUGCCCGAUCGUGGGGGAUAACGAGGCGAAAGCUUUGCUAAUACCGCAUACGAUCUACGGAUGAAAGCAGGGGACCGCAAGGCCUUGCGCGGACGGAGCGGCCGAUGGCAGAUUAGGUAGUUGGUGGGAUAAAAGCUUACCAAGCCGACGGUCUGUAGCUGGUCUGAGAGGAUGAUCAGCCACACUGGGACUGAGACACGGCCCAGACUCCUACGGGAGGCAGCAGUGGGGAAUUUUGGACAAUGGGCGCAAGCCUGAUCCAGCCAUGCCGCGUGCAGGAUGAAGGCCUUCGGGUUGUAAACUGCUUUUGUACGGAACGAAAAGCCUUCUUUUAAUACAGGAGGGUCAUGACGGUACCGUAAGAAUAAGCACCGGCUAACUACGUG